UCUCGUUAACGAAUCCAUAAAUCAUCCUCAUCCUCAUCAUCUUCUCACCCAAAGCGGCUUCUUCUUCUUGUUCUUUUUCUUGUUCUUCUUCGUUUCACCUCCAGUACCCUUCUCCUCUGUUCGGCGUCAGCAACGUCUCCAGUUCAGGUCAUCUCUGCCUCCUUCUAUUCAAAGCAUCUUCGCUAGCCACGAGAUCGUGACCAAGUAUAUGGGUGUGAUUUGGGAGAGUUUUACAAACAAGAAGACGAAAGUACCGUCCAGAACCCACGAGAUUGCCCGGAGACGAUGGUCGUGGCGGCCGGGUUCGACCCGUUAAAGGAAAAGAGAGAUCGAGAUGUUCCUUGCGUGAGGCUCCAACAGAUUAAGGACUUCCACUAAGAUUUCUCAAGGUUAGUGCUUUCUUUUUCUCCAAGUUUAUGUUUUGUAGCGAGAGUUGCGAAUUUUUAGUGAUGAUCGCAUUUGGAAGAUAGGCUUUACUGCUGGUUCGUACUUGUAUUACUGAAAUAGCUAGAGACUUUAAAAAUAUAUAUAUUUAUACACAUGAAUUUUAAAUCACUUUUUUUUGUACAAAUCCUUCGUUUUAUGUAUAAUUUUUCAAAAAAAAAUUAAAGGAGAAAUUCUAUAUCACCUUUUUGAUAAUGAAUUUUAAAAAAUAAUUUGUCAUUUAUGAUCAUUUAGUUCUUUUUUAUCAAAUUUUGUUUUCUAUUAGUAUUAUAAUGUUUUCUAAAAGUCCAAGUUUUUGUUGUUUUAUCAAAAUAUUUUCUUGUACAAGUCCUUUUGUUUUAAGUAUAACUUUCUAAAAAAACUUUAAAGGUAUAUGAGAUAAGGAGUAUUAUAGAAUAUAAUUAUUAUAAAUUUUUAAGGGUUUCAUAGAUUAUAGUAUAAUAGAUUACGGAUAUUAUGGAUUAGGUUAUAUGAGAUAAGAGGUAUUAUAGAUAAAAGGUAUUUUGAGAAUAGGGGUAUAUGUAAUUAAAGGGGUAUAUGAGAAUAAAGAGUAUUUGAGAUUAGGGGAAAUUGAGAUUAAAGGGGUAUAAGAAAAUAGGAAAUAUAUGAGAAUAAGAGGUAUUGAUGAGGGGUAUUUUGAAAUUAGAGGUAUAUGAGAAUAAAUGGUAUAUGAGAUUAAACGGUAUUUGAGAUUAAAGGGGUAUAUGAGAAUAUGGGCAUUUGAGAUUAGAGGCAUUUGAGAAUAAGAGUAUUUGAGAUUAGGAGCAUUUGAGAAUAAAGGCAUUUGAGAAUAAGGGUAUUUGAGAUUAGGGGCAUUUUGAGAAGAGGAGUAUUUGAAAUUAGAGGCAUUUGAGAAUAGGGGUAUUUGAGAUUAGGGGCAUUUGAGAAUAAGGGCAUUUGAGAAUAAGGGUAUUUGAGAAUAAGGGUUUAGGGGAAUUUGAGAUUAGGGGCAUUUGGAAUAAGGGCAUUUGAGAAUAGGGAUAUUUGAGAAUAAGGGCAUUUGAGAAUAAGGGUAUUUGAAAAUAGGGGCAUUUGAGAGAAUAGGGAUAUUUGAGAAUAAGGGCAUUUGAGAAUAGGGGCAUUUGAGAAUAGGGGUAUUUGAGAUUAGGGAUAUUUGAGAAUAAGGGUAUUUGAGAAUAGGGAUAUUUGAGAAUAGGGGCAUUUGAGAAUAGGGGCAUUUGAGAAUAGGGGCAUUUGAGAAUAUGGGGUAUUUGAGAUUAGGGGCAUUUGAGAAUAGGGAUAUUUGAGAAUAAGGGCAUUUGAGAAUAGGGGCAUUUGAGAAUAGGGGUAUUUGAGAUUAGGGAUAUUUGAGAAUAAGGGUAUUUGAGAAUAGGGAUAUUUGAGAAUAAGGGCAUUUGAGAAUAGGGGCAUUUGAGAAUAGGGGCAUUUGAGAAUAGGGGCAUUUGAGAAUAGGGGCAUUUGAGA